UGCCAGCAGCCGCGGUAAUACGGAGGGGGUUAGCGUUGUUCGGAAUUACUGGGCGUAAAGCGCGCGUAGGCGGCGAAGUGUGUCAGAGGUGAAAGCUCACGGCUCAACCGUGGAAUUGCCUUUGAAACUGCUUCGCUUGAGUCCGAGAGAGGAUGAUGGAAUUCCUGGUGUAACGGUGAAAUGUGCAGAUAUCAGGAAGAACACCAGUGGCGAAGGCGGUCAUCUGGCUCGGUACUGACGCUGAGGCACGAAAGCUAGGGUAUCAAACGGGAUUAGAUA
rnacentral:rRNA from 1 species